rnacentral:rRNA from 1 species
AGCGAACGCUGGCGGCAGGCCUAACACAUGCAAGUCGAACGAACUCUUCGGAGUUAGUGGCGGACGGGUGAGUAACACGUGGGAACGUGCCUUUAGGUUCGGAAUAACUCAGGUAAACGUGUGCUAAUACCGAGUGUGCCCUUCGGGUGAAAGAUUUAUCGCCUUUAGAGCAGCCCGCGUCUGAUUAGCUAGGUGGUGAGGUAAAGGCUCACCAAGGCGACGAUCAGUAGCGGGUCUGAGAGGAUGAUCAGCCACAUUGGGACUGAGACACGGCCCAAACUCCUACGGGAGGCAGCAGUGGGGAAUCCUGCGCAAUGGGCGAAAGCCUGACGCAGCCAUGCCGCGUGAAUGAUGAAGGUCUUAGGAUUGUACAAUUCUUUAACCGGGGACGAUACUGACGGUACCCGGAGAAGAAGCACCGGCUAACUUCGUG